AGAUGUGACUAUAGAUGUUGUCGCAACGUCACAGUACUUUGUUGGCCCGACGUCGGGAAACGUUUGAAAUGGACGUUGGGUACCACCGUUGGGCUGAUGUUGGUUAGAGGUUAUUGUAGACGUCGCAACGUCGCAGUACGUUGUUGGCCCGACGUCGGUAAACAUUUGAAAGAUGACUGUGUACUACUGCAGGACUGUAAAGGGUGGUAAUGAUUAUUUUGUGUCAACAUCACAGUACGCCGUUGGUGCGACGUUCGUUGUUGGCCCGACGUCGGUAAACGUCUGAAAGGAUGACUAUACUACCGUUGGGCCCAUGUUGACUUCAGGCCGUCAAGAAAAUUGCGAGGUGCCACGUGUGUCCGUAUUAUAAUAAAUGUACUUGAUAAAUAAUUGAUGUACCUUGAUAAAGACCUAAGGAUAGGUCGAAAUAUUGGUUUUCUCAAAUAAAGUGUUUCCUAAGUCUAUACAUUGUAUUCGUUUGCUAUAUUGACCAAUCAGCGCCGCGUGUUCUUGUUUCAAGUUUCAAGUUCAAAAACGCGGGAUUCGUUACUGAAACGACGCCAUUCCUGUUUUUAUCGUACGAGUGGUAAGAAGGUGUGUCGAAUCAUAGGUCGAAAAAGCUUUGGCAAAAGGACUAAAGGGAUAUCACUGAAGCUACAUCUGAGGAAAAAAUAAAAUCAUGGCUUAAGUACAGUUAAGACCGAUUAGUUAGAAGAAAGGCCAGAGCCGAGAAGCAGAGAGCUACAGCACAAAAGGAAGAAGUUCUUCAUUUAACUGACAGUGACUGAACAACAUGCCAUUUCAGGCACUAUAUUCUUCAAAUUUAAACCAGAUUUCAAAUCUUCGUAUUUACAUUUAAAUUUGAUUUUAGAUGUUUUUUAAUCUUGUAAUUUUAGACACCAGGAAAACAUAAUUAAAAAUUGUAUACUAAAUCAUUAUUUUUAAAUUUAGGUUUUUAUGCGCCUACUAAAUUUGAUAUAAUUGUGAUAUUAAUGAUAAAAAUGCAUAAAACCACACGAAUACAAUGGCUUGAUCACCUUGGACUUUCUUCCGCGUACUAUCUCAAUGACCCAGGCUGAAUUUCAGAUUUUUUUUUUGCUUUGAGUUUAAAUCAAACAUUAGUGUAUUACGCCUUAUCUAUAUAGACUCUAUUAUAUGUUAUAUAUACAUACUAUGUAUAUACAUUCAUUUAUAGUAAUAAAAUAAUAAAGUGAAAGAUUUUAUUGUAUUGGGUACAUUCUUUUAGAACGCUAGAAUAAUCUACGCUCCUACUAUCUAUUUUUUUUUUAAUAGUUUUAAUGAGAUAUAAGGGCACCUGAUCAACGCAGUAUACAAGCCUUAAUUAAAAUCCGUCAAUAUUUUGCACAGUUAAAUUAAAACACUGUAACGAAUACUCAAUACAGACUAAAACAUAUCAGACCAGCGACGUCGUGAUGCUGCCAUAUAAAUUACAAUGCACCUCGACGUAUCUGUCCGAAGACCAACAAAAAAGCAACGUUGGGUCAACGUUAGUCUAGUUGGGUUAACGUCUUUCGAAGAAGCUGAACCCACGUUGGCCUGAUAAAUAUGCAAACGUCUAACCAACGUUAGUAUAAAUACGUUGGGCCAACGUGGUUUGACGUUGCACAAACAUAUCGGCCGACGUUGAUCCAACUAGUCGGACCGACGUCUUUCCAACCGGCUGAAUCGACGUUGGCCCGAUGAAAAAGCGAACGUCUAGGCAAACAUUAGAAAAGGAACGUUGACCCGAACGUCUAGGCAAACAUUAGAAAAGGAACGUUGACCCAACGUAGUUUGAUGACGUUGCACAAACGCCGUCGCCCCGACGGUGAUCCAACUAGUCGGACCGACGUCUUUCCAACUGGCUGAACCGACGUUGGCCCGGUGGAAAAGCGAACGUCUUAUCAGAAAAAGUACGUUGUUCCAACGUGGGUGGACGACGUUGCACAAACAUAUCGGCCCGACGUUGAUCCAACUAGUCGGACCGACGUUUUUCCAACUGGCUGAAUCGACGUUGGCAAGAUGGAAAAGCUAACGUUUAGGCAACAUCAGUAAGGAACGUUGGCCCAACGUAGUUUGAUGACGUUGCACAAACAUAUCGGCCCGACGUUGAUCCAACUAGUCGGACCGACGUCUUUCGAACGGGCUGAAUCGACGUUGGCCCGAUGGAAAAGCGAAGGUACGUUGGGCCAACGUGAUUAGGCGAGGUUGCACAAACAUUAUCGGGCCAACGCUGAUCCAACCAUGGAGGUAUGAUCCAACUAGUCAGGCCGAUGUCUUUCCAACAAGCUGAAUCCACGUUGGGCCGAUGGAAAGCCGAACGUCGGGCCAACAUUUGUGUAAGUACGUUGUGCCAACGCAAUUAUUUGACCUUCAACCAACGUCGGGCUAACGUCGCUUGCUAGCUGGGGUGACUUAACUUUACUAGAAUAUCGGUAAAUUAACUUGCUUAACGGUAAAUUUGGCUCAGAUUACAAGGCCACGAUUACGUAACGUAGGCAUCUAAGUCAGCGUUGUUGUAUUGUACCACCAUUAUCAUGCUCUGGCUGGCAACAACGUACUCCAACAAUGCUAACAACAGCAGCAUAGUAGUCUCAUUAGUACGGUGGCUGAUUUCCAACAUCCAGUCGUUAAAAAUGAGCGCA
rnacentral:lncRNA from 1 species